AUGAGGUUGCAAUCACCCCAGGGCUGGCGUCCUCGUCCCAUCUCACCGUGGGCUCCGCCGCGGAAGUGUUGCUGUCACUGCAUUAUUCAUAGUAGCAAAAGCAAAACAGAAUCCAAGUAUCCAUCAGUAGGUAAAUGGAGCCGGGCGUGGUGGUGCGCGCUUGCAAUCCCAGCACUCAGGAGGCUGAAGCAGGAGGGUUGUUGUGAGUUUGACACCAGCCUGGAUACCAAGUGAUUUGAAGGCCAGCCCAAACUGCAUAGUGAAAUACUGUGGCAAAAAAAGAAAAAAAAAACCAAAAAACAAAAACCCAGGUAAAUGGAUAAACACAAUGUACACAUGCUAUGGAAUAUUAUUCAGCCUUGAAAAUGGAAAUUCUGACACAUACUACAACAUAAAGGAACUUGAAAAUAUGCUAAGAUAAAAAGCCUUCAUAUGAAGUUCCCAGAAUGGGCACAUUGUUAGUGAGCCAGCAGGGGUGAAUGUGAAGUUACUGUUUAAAUAGGUGCAAAUUGCAGUGUCUGUGACAGGUAAGCUUGAUUGUGUCAGCUUGAUUGGUUUUGGAGCCACACAGGGGUGUGGUGGUGCAUACUCUGAUGUGUACCUGGGUGCAUCACAGAGGUGGGACCUUGGGUACUCUAUCUGGUCCCCGCCCCUUCCUCUCUGGCACUGUUCCCCUGCUCUGCUUCCCUUGCUGUCAUGAACCAAGCGUCUUUGCUCCUCCAGGUUCUCCUACCAUGAUGUCUAUGCCUUGGAGCCAGCUAACCUGGGCUGAGUCCCCUUAAAACAGGAGUCAAAUUAAACCUCUCCUCCUUUAAAUUGUAAGUAUCAGGUAUUGUGUCCCACAAUCAGAAAUCUAAUACAGCGUGGAAUGUUAAAAGUUCUGGAAAUAGUUGUUAUACAACUUUGUAAAUGUCCUUAAUGACCUUGACAAUACUGAAUUGCACACUUAAAAAUGGUUCACCUAUACUCCAAGCACCCUGGGAGGCUGAGGCAGGAGGA
rnacentral:lncRNA from 1 species